GACUAGUCGUACUCCGAAUGCAUNCAGAUUGUUNAGGAACACGUAGCUGACUGCCCUCAAGUGCGGGAUACGCCCGAAAGGGGUGCUAAUACGCGUAAGCUCACAACCGCUAGGGGGUUGUGAGAAAAGGCUUCGGUCGCUUGAGGAGGGGGCUGCGGCGCAUCAGGUAGUUGGUGGGGUAACGGCUACCAAGCCAACGACGCGUCGGGGGUCUGAGAGGAUGGCCCCCCACACUGGGACUGAGACACGGCCAGACUCCUACGGGAGGCAGCAGUGAGGGAUAUUGCACAAUGGGGGAAACCCUGAUGCAGCGACGCCGCGUGGGCGAUGAAGGUCUUCGGAUCGUAAAGCCCUUUUCUGUGUGACGAGCAAGGACGGUAGCACAGGAAUAAGUCUCGGCUAACUACGUGCCAGCAGUCGCGGUAAAACGUAGUAGGCAAGCGUUAUCCGGAGUUACAGGGCGUAAAGCGCAAGUAGGCGGUUGUGCAAGUUGGUUGUGAAUGCGCCCGGCUAAACUGGGCGAAGCGAUCAAGACUGNACGGNUAAGAGUGCGUAAAGGGGCGGCCAAAAUUCCGGGGUGUACGGGUGAAAAUUGUGUUUAGAAUNCCGGAGGGAAAUUCCAGUUGGGGNAAGCCGGGUGCCCCUGGGGCAUAUUU
rnacentral:rRNA from 1 species